UGGGGAAUAUUGCACAAUGGGGGAAACCCUGAUGCAGCGACGCCGCGUGAACGAAGAAGGUAUUCGUAUCGUAAAGUUCUGUCCUAUGGGAAGAUAAUGACAGUACCAUAGAAGAAAGCUCCGGCUAAAUACGUGCCAGCAGCCGCGGUAAUACGUAUGGAGCGAGCGUUGUCCGGAAUUAUUGGGCGUAAAGGGUACGCAGGCGGUUUAAUAAGUCGAAUGUUAAAGAUCGGGGCUCAACCCCGUAAAGCAUUGGAAACUGAUAAACUUGAGUAGUGGAGAGGAAAGUGGAAUUCCUAGUGUAGUGGUGAAAUACGUAGAGAUUAGGAGGAAUACCAGUAGCGAAGGCGACUUUCUGGACACAAACUGACGCUGAUGUGCGAAAGCGUGGGGAUCAAACAGG
rnacentral:rRNA from 1 species